rnacentral:rRNA from 1 species
CCUGAACGCUGGCGGCGUGGCUAAGACAUGCAAGUCGUACGGAUGUAGCAAUACAUCAGUGGCGAACGGGUGAGUAAUGAAUCGCUAAUGUACCCCGGACUCUGGGAUAGCUGCCCGAAAGGGCAGGUAAUACCAGAUGAUAUAUCUUUAUCGCAUGAUAGAGAUCUCAAAGGUCCGCCGGUCUGGGGAGCAGGCGAUUUUGUAUCAGCUAGUUGGUGAGGUAACGGCUCACCAAGGCGAUGACGCAUAGCCGGACUGAGAGGUUGGCCGGCCACAUUGGGACUGAGACACUGCCCAGACUCCUACGGGGGGCUGCAGUAACGAAUCUUCCGCAAUGCACGAAAGUGUGACGGAGCGACGCCGCGUGUGGGACGAA